UACAGAGGUCUCAAGCGUUGUUCGGAUUCAUUGGGCGUAAAGGGUGCGUAGGCGGCGCGGUAAGUCGGGUGUGAAAUCUCGGAGCUUAACUCCGAAACUGCAUUCGAUACUGCCGUGCUUGAGGACUGGAGAGGAGACUGGAAUUUACGGUGUAGCGGUGAAAUGCGUAGAUAUCGUAAGGAAGACCAGUGGCGAAGGCGGGUCUCUGGGCAACAACUGACGUGAGGAGCGAAAGCGUGGGGAGCGAACAGG
rnacentral:rRNA from 1 species